CCUCCGUGAGGCAGCAGUGGGGAAUAUUGGGCAAUGGGCGCAAGCCUGACCCAGCAACGCCGCGUGAAGGAAGAAGGCUUUCGGGUUGUAAACUUCUUUUCUCAGGGACGAAGCAAGUGACGGUACCUGAGGACUAAGCCACGGCUAACUACGUGCCAGCAGCCGCGGUGAUACGUAGGUGGCAGGCGUUAUGCGGAUUUACUGGGUGUAAAGGGCGUGUAGGCGGGAAAGCAAGUCAGAUGUGAAAACCAUGGGCUCAACCUGUGGACUGCAUUUGAAACUGUUUUUCUUGAGUACUGGAGAGGCAGACGGAAUGCCUAGUGUAGCGGUGAAAUGCGUAGAUAUUAGGCAGAACACCAGUGGCGAAGGCGGCCUGCUGGACAGCAACUGACGCUGAGGCGCGAAAGCGUGGGUAGCGAACAGGAUUAGAUACCCGAGUAGUC
rnacentral:rRNA from 1 species